UUACCACUCUGGCCUUUUGGCUUAGAUCAAGUGUAGUAUCUGUUCUUAAUAGUUUAACCACUAUUAUAGAGGCACCGCCUCUAUUAUUGGUUAUCUAAUUUUUGCCGCCCUUGAUUCCUGUGCUCUGCUUGAACACGGGAACGCGAUGACCUUGCUAUUACAGUAUCGGCUUGUGUCGUCGGGGGAUC
rnacentral:snRNA from 1 species